rnacentral:tRNA from 1 species
AAAUAAGAAACAAAACAUUGUAUUUAGUUUCGACCUAAAAUUUUGGUGGGGAUCACCCUUAUUUA